rnacentral:SRP_RNA from 1 species
GUUCGGGAACUUCACAAAUCAUGCUUCAAAACCCCGCGAGAGCCGGAAGGCAGCAACGGUAUGAAGAUUUUGAUUGUGCUGGAGUAUUCCUGGGCUCU